GACGAACGCUGGCGGCGUGCUUAACACAUGCAAGUCGAACGGUGAAGCUCCAGCUUGCUGGAGUGGAUCAGUGGCGAACGGGUGAGUAACACGUGAGCAACCUGCCCCAGACUCUGGAAUAAGCGCUGGAAACGGCUUCUAAUACUGGAUACGAGAUCAAGCCGCAUGGUUAUGGUCUGGAAAGUUUUUCGGUUUGGGAUGGGCUCGCGGGCUAUCAGCUUGUUGGUGAGGUAAUGGCUCACCCAGGCGACGACUGGUAGCCGGCCUGAGAGGGCGAACGGCCACACUGGGACUGAGACACGGCCCAGACGCCUACGGGAGGCAGCAGUGGGGAAUAUUGCACAAUGGGGGAAAGCCUGAUGCAGCGACGCCGCGUGAGGGAUGACGGCCUUCGGGUUGUAAACCUCUUUCAGCAGGGAAGAAGCGAAAGUGACGGUACCUGCAGAAGAAGCACCGGCUAACUACGUG
rnacentral:rRNA from 1 species